AACGAUGCAUAGCCGACCUGAGAGGGUGAUCGGCCACACUGGGACUGAGACACGGCCCAGACUCCUACGGGAGGCAGCAGUAGGGAAUCUUCCGCAAUGGACGAAAGUCUGACGGAGCAACGCCGCGGGUAUGAAGAAGGUUUUCGGAUCGUAAAGUACUGUUGUUAGAGAAGAACAAGGAUAAGAGUAACUGCUUGUCCCUUGACGGUAUCUAACCAGAAAGCCACGGCUAACUACGUGCCAGCAGCCGCGGUA
rnacentral:rRNA from 1 species